UCUGUUGCCCAGGCUGGAGUGCACUGGCACAGUCUUGGCUCACUGCAACCUCUGCCUCCUUGGUUCAAGUGAUUCUCCUGCCUGAGCCUCCCGAGUAGCUGGGAUUACAGGUGCCUGCUACCACUCCCGGCUAAUUUUUUUUUGUAUUUUUAGUCCCCAGUAGCUGGGAUUACAGGCGUCUGCCACCACGCCUGGCUAAUUUUUUUCUAUUUUUGGUAGAGAUGGGGUUUCACCAUGUUGGCCAGGCUCAUCUCAAACUCCUAAUCUCGUGAUCCACCCACCUUGGCCUCCCAAAGUGCUGGGAUUACAGGUGUCUGCACCUCCGCCUUCUGGGUUCAAGUGAUUCUCCUGCCUCAGCCUCCCGAGUAGCCGGGACUAUAGGCACACACCACCAUGCCUGGCUAAUUUUUGUAUCUUUAGUAGAGACGUGUUUUCACCAUGUUGGCCAGGCUGGUCUCAAACUCCUGAUCUCAAGUGAUCUGCCUGCCCCAGCCUCCCAGAGUGCUGGGAUACAGGCACGAGCCAUCACACCCAGCCAAAGCUGGGCAUUUUUUAAUGUGCUUAUUGGACAUUGGUAUAUCUUCUGUAGUAAGGUAUUCAAGUCUUUUGCCCCUUUUUAUAGGAGUGUUGACUUUACAGAAUUGUAAGGUUUUUUAAAAAUAUAUUUCGUUUUAAGUGAGUUUUAGAUUUUGAGGCUAUGCUUCACUUUGAAUCUUUGUGUAUGGUGUGAAAAGACCUGGUUUGUUUUUGUCUUUUUUUUUCCUAUGUGGCUAUUCAUUUACUUCUGCACUGUUUGUUGAAAAGACUGUCCUUUCCCCACUAGACUACCUUGGCACCUCGGGUGGAAAUCAGUUGUCCAUAUAAUUGUAGGUCUGCCUCUGGGCUCUGUAUCCUUUCACCAGUGCCUGAAGACCAAAUAUCUUGAUUACUGCAGCUUUGAGUAGGCUUGAAAUCUA
rnacentral:lncRNA from 1 species